rnacentral:rRNA from 1 species
AUUGAACGCUGGCGGCAUGCUUUACACAUGCAAGUCGAACGGUAACAGGUUAAGCUGACGAGUGGCGAACGGGUGAGUAAUGCAUCGGAACGUGCCCGGUCGUGGGGGAUAACGCAGCGAAAGCUGCGCUAAUACCGCAUACGAUCCAAGGAUGAAAGCGGGGGACCGUAAGGCCUCGCGCGAUCGGAGCGGCCGAUGUCAGAUUAGGUAGUUGGUGGGGUAAGGGCACACCAAGCCAACGAUCUGUAGCUGGUCUGAGAGGACGACAAGCCCACCUGGGACUGAGACACGGACCAGACUCCUGCGGGAGGCAACAGUGGGGAAUUUUGGACAAUGGGAGAAAGCCUGAUCCAGCAACGCCGCGUGCAGGAAGAAGGCCUUCGGGUUGUAAACUGCUUUUGUACGGAGCGAAAAGGUCUCCUCUAAUACAGGGGGCUCAUGACGGUACCGUAAGAAUAAGCACCGGCUAACUACGUGCCAGCAGCCGCCGCGG